UGGGGGAGGCCGGAUCCUGGGCUGUGUCCCGGCGCCCUGUGCUCUGAGGCCUGAGCUGGUGGAUUUGCGCUCCCGCCCCGCAGCCCCCU
rnacentral:pre_miRNA from 1 species